rnacentral:rRNA from 1 species
AUGAACGCUGGCGGCGUGCCUAAUACCUGCAAGUCGAGCGCACAGACGAGGAGCUUGCUCCUCUGACGUUAGCGGCGGACGGGUGAGUAACACGUGGAUAACCUACCUAUAAGACUGGGAUAACUUCGGGAAACCGGAGCUAAUACCGGAUAAUAUAUUGAACCGCAUGGUUCAAUAGUGAAAGACGGUUUUGCUGUCACUUAUAGAUGGAUCCGCGCCGCAUUAGCUAGUUGGUAAGGUAACGGCUUACCAAGGCGACGAUGCGUAGCCGACCUGAGAGGGUGAUCGGCCACACUGGAACUGAGACACGGUCCAGACUCCUACGGGAGGCAGCAGUAGGGAAUCUUCCGCAAUGGGCGAAAGCUUGACGGAGCAACGCCGCGUGAGUGAUGAAGGUCUUCGGAUCGUAAAACUCUGUUAUUAGGGAAGAACAAAUGUGUAAGUAACUAUGCACGUCUUGACGGUACCUAAUCAGAAAGCCACGGCUAACUACGUG